AACGAACGCUGGCGGCAUGCCUAACACAUGCAAGUCGAACGAGACCUUCGGGUCUAGUGGCGCACGGGUGCGUAACGCGUGGGAACCUGCCCUUAGGUUCGGAAUAACUCCCCGAAAGGGGUGCUAAUACCGGAUAAUGUCUUCGGACCAAAGAUUUAUCGCCUUUGGAUGGGCCCGCGUUGGAUUAGCUAGUCGGUAGGGUAAAAGCCUACCAAGGCGACGAUCCAUAGCUGGUCUGAGAGGAUGAUCAGCCACACUGGGACGGAGACACGGCCCAGACUCCUACGGGAGGCAGCAGUGGGGAAUAGUGGACAACGGGCGAAAGCAUGAUCCAGCAAUGCCGCGUGAGUGAUGAAGGCCUUAGGGUUGUAAAGCUCUUUUACCCGGGAUGAUAAUGACAGUACCGGGAGAAUAAGCUCCGGCUAACUCCGUG
rnacentral:rRNA from 1 species